rnacentral:lncRNA from 1 species
AUUCAAGUUUUGUGUAUAAAAAUAAUGAACAGAAAAAAAAACAAAAACAAAAACGUUUAUUGGGGUUGUCAAGGUCGUUGUCGAGGUUACCGAUUGCCACCAUUUUUAAACAGUCAUGCACCAGGUAUCAGGAUGCACCAGGAGUCGGUCAAUGAUCCCUCGUCAUAUUUAUAAAUUUCGAAAUAAAAAAUAUAAAAUAUUGAGACAAUAAUGUCCUUGAUGCAGACAACAAUUAAACACAAAAGAAAAACUUAUCAGCUAAAUUUAUAGGAUAAACAAAAUGGAUCAAAAUUAAUAAACAAUUUCAAGCAACAUGUGAAUAAUAUUUGCCUGAAAAUUUGUUGGCAAGUUCAGUGAUAAGUUCACGAUAUACAAUUGGAUUAACAUUACGUGAUAAUUGAUAAAGCAAAAACCAAUCACCGAAAUUUAAUGUCUUAACAAUAGUUUGAAUUUGUGAUAAUGGCACAGUUCUUGUUGAUGCUCUUAGUAAAUAAAUACGUGCAUGUGCUUGUGUUAGUACAAUAAUUCUAUAAAUAAUUGCAACAGCACCAGCAAAAGCAAGAAAUAUUAACCAAAACCAUAAAAAUACAAAUGUCUUUUCAUUGACAACAUUCAAUGGUAAUACACAAAGUGCAUCUUUUGUUUGUACUGAUCCAGAUGAGCCAUAUGUAUAUAUUGUACAUUUGGAUACCUUCGGAAAUAAUCUUGACAUUGGAUCAACUCUUUCAAAUGGUUUUGUUUCACUUUCAAACUCAACAACAGAUGAUCCAUAUUUUAAAAAUUGUCCUUCAAGUAAUACAUUCAACAAUAAUAUUUGUACAAUCUGUAAAAAAGAAAAAGAAAAAAAAUGACAAUGCAUAAUAUGUAUGUGCAUGAAGAUGAGUAGUUGCAAAAUAUUCGACAAGUUGUUCUUUUCUUUCUUGACUCCAUACAUCACGUAAUAAUGGUGAUGUUAAAUCACGUGAAAGUAAAGCAACAGUACCACGUUCACGUACAAUCCAUAAUGCUCUUGGUGAAUAAAAUACAAUAGCCUGAAGAGCUAAUACCAAGCAUACCUGUUGCACAUCAUUAAAUUUACAAAUUAAUUUAAAAUUAUGGAUUAUGAUAAUGCAAAUAUUACAUACCCAUUGAUAAUAACGAUGAUGAUGGAUUUCAUCAUUUGGAAGACCUUGACCAAUACCAGCAUUUGCAAUAUGACGACCUGGUACACCACGUAAAUGUCUUGCUAUUGUAAAUGUACUAUAAAUCCAACAAAAUGAAGAAUAAAAAAUUUUUCUAUGUACUUACCAAUUGUACCGUCAGCGAUGCAAGAUAUUGGAUCGCCAACAAAUUGUUUUGCAGUUAUGAGAAUCGAAAAUGUUGUCAAUAUUAUAACUGUCAUUCGACAAUGUAAUCUAAAUACAAUGUUAUCAAUUGUGACAGGUUCACGUGAUAACAGACAUUUUAUUGGUGAAAAUAAUUCAAACAUGUUUUACUGAUUUGUUAUUUAAAACUCGCACACUCAAUGUGAAUAGAAAUAAAAUAAUAAUAUAUAAUAAUAAGGAGCAAAAAAAAAUUAAAUUGAUGAAGGAUAAUUUGAUAAGUUUAAUAUGAAAAUGUUGGACAAAUAAUAAUCGUAUGAUUAUAUUACUUUAGCCAUGGUAGCACUCACCACUUAACGUAGCAAUGUUCAAAACUUUCAAGACAAUUGAAAGCUAGCUUUUAGUAUUCAACUUAUUUCACGAACAGAAGCGAAAUGCUUAUUCCUGGAAUGAGUUGGUAUAUAUCGUCUUUUGUUAAUUUCUACAAUCAAUUGUUAUAAAUUAAUUUUAAAAUCCUUGUCAUCAUAAAAAAUAUUUGUUUUAUAAAAUAGAAAUAUUUUUUUUUUCAAUUGUUUUUAUUUGUAAAAAAUAUAAUAAUCAAUUACAGUAAUAAUUACAAUACAAUGUAAUUUUUUUUUUUAUAAUUAUAUCGAUGAU